rnacentral:rRNA from 1 species
CAAUAGCGUAUAUUAAAGUUGUUGCAGUUAAAAAGCUCGUAGUUGGAUUUCUGAUCGAGACAUCAGGUCGGGUCCGAGAGGAUCAUGUACUUUGAUUUUGUUUUGAUCAUCCUUGGGGAGAGCAUUUCUGGCAUUCAGUUGUCGGGAUUGGGAUCCUCAUCGUUUACUGUGAAAAAAUUAGAGUGUUCAAAGCAGGCCUCGGCCUCUGAAUACAUUAGCAUGGAAUAAUAAGAUAGGACUUUGGUGGUCUAUUUUGUUGGUUUGCACGCCAAAGUAAUGAUUAAUAGGGAUAGUUGGGGGUAUUCGUAUGCAAUUGUCAGAGGUGAAAUUCUUGGAUUUAUGGAAGACGAACUACUGCGAAAGCAUUUACCAAGGAUGUUUUCAUUAA